UACAGAGGUCUCAAGCGUUGUUCGGAUUCAUUGGGCGUAAAGGGUGCGUAGGCGGCGCGGUAAGUCGGGUGUGAAAUCUCGGAGCUUAACUCCGAAACUGCAUUCGAUACUGCCGUGCUUGAGGACUGGAGAGGAGACUGGAAUUUACGGUGUAGCGGUGAAAUGCGUAGAUAUCGUAAGGAAGACCAAUGGCGAAGGCGGGUCUCUGGGCAACAACUGACGCUGAGGAGCGAAAGCGUGGGGGAGCGAACAGG
rnacentral:rRNA from 1 species